rnacentral:rRNA from 1 species
GACGAACGCUGGCGGCGUGCUUAACACAUGCAAGUCGAACGAUGAAGCUGAAGCUUGCUCCGGCGGAUUAGUGGCGAACGGGUGAGUAACACGUGAGCAAUCUGCCCUUCACUCUGGGAUAACUGCGGGAAACUGUAGCUAAUACCGGAUACGAAGCCUUGGGGCAUCCCAGGGCUUGGAAAGAAUUUCGGUGAAGGAUGAGCUCGCGGCCUAUCAGCUAGUUGGUGAGGUAAUGGCUCACCAAGGCGACGACGGGUGGCCGGCCUGAGAGGGUGACCGGCCACACUGGGACUGAGACACGGCCCAGACUCCUACGGGAGGCAGCAGUGGGGAAUAUUGCACAAUGGGCGAAAGCCUGAUGCAGCAACGCCGCGUGAGGGAUGAAGGCCUUCGGGUUGUAAACCUCUUUUAGUAGGGAAGAAGCGCAAGUGACGGUACCUACAGAAAAAGCACCGGCUAACUACGUGCCAGCAGCCGCCGUAA